CAAUCACAGAGGUCUCACCUCUUUUGAAAACCUCUUUGCAUCAGCUAUCUACAUUAAGCCGCACUUUGCAUCACUCAUUGCACACAUUCAAAAUGCAGCAGCACACAGAAAUCUAGUCACAUAGUGGAGUAAGUCCGACUUGUUGGAACUGCCAUGAAACUUGGUGUGAAAAUUGGCUACGUGGAUCCUUGUUGAAUCCUCUUGUCCCCCAGACUCUCAGCCUAAAGUGGGAGUCAGUGUCAUGUCCAACUCUGUCAAUCCAAGUUUUUCCUUCCUGUAACCUGUACUCCCCCUUAUCUGUAACCCCAUCCUGUACUCCAGACUGCUGCCCUAAACAGUCUGCAGGAACACCAGUAAAUCUCAAUAAAAAGGUUCUGUGGUUUUGGGUGUAUGGAGUGUUUGUUGCAGGGUAGAUAUGGAGAGGGCACACAUGUAAAUGUGUGUUGGCCCUGUACAUUUAUGUGUUGAAUGUGAAACCUUCUACAUACCUUUUUUAUAUCACCUCUGCAUUGAAAAAGUAUAACAAAAAAGAAAAAUGGUACAAGAAGGAAUAUCUCUGCUUGGACUGAAGUUGUGUGUGGCCUGGGGCAGGUAUGGAGUCUGAUGUAGCUGAAGGGACACAGCUCUCCCCAGCACCCCCUA